rnacentral:tRNA from 1 species
UUUUAAUUUUAUUGAUUUUGAAAAUCAUUGAACAUUUUUUUGUAUUAAAUU